UUGGAGGCAAGUCUGGUGCCAGCAGCCGCGGUAAUUCCAGCUCCAAUAGCGUAUAUUAAAGUUGUUGCAGUUAAAGAGCUCGUAGUUGAAUUUCGGGGUCUGUCUAUCGGUCGGGCUUCACUGUCCGUACUGGUUUGAUGGAUUCUUACCUUCUGAAUAACCAUCAUGCCAUUAAUUUGGUGCGUUGGGGAAGCAGAGCUAUUACCUUGAAAAAAUUAGAGUGCUUAAAGCAGGCUAGCGCUUGAAUAGAUUAGCAUGGAAUAAUGAAAUAGGACGGCAUGGUUCUAUUUUGUUGGUUUCUAGGAUCACCGUAAUGAUUAAUAGGGAUAGUUGGGGGCAUUAGUAUUCAAUUGUCAGAGGUGAAAUUCUUGGAUUUAUUGAAGACUAACUACUGCGAAAGCAUUUGCCAAGGAUGUUUUCAUUAAUCAAGAACGAAAGUUAGGGGAUCGAAGACGAUCAGAUACCGUCGUAGUCUUAACCAUAAACUAUGCCGACUAGGGAUCGGACGAAGUUAAUUUUUUAAUGACUCGUUCGGCGCCUUACGGAAAC
rnacentral:rRNA from 1 species